CCCAGGGGUUCUUCCCCUCCUCCCCCCAUCCCUGAAGCAGCAGAGAGGGAGUGGGAGGUGCUUCCAACAGCCACAGAGAUGAGGAGAAAGGAGCUGGGUAGAUGGGAGUCCUCCAAGGUCAUAGAGACUGCGCUGUAUGUGGCUAGAGAGACUGAUUUCCGGUCCUGCCUCUGCUGUGUCUCAGGGACACAGUCGGAGCCGGGCUCCCAGCCCCGCCCAGAACCAGGGUCGGAUUCUCUCCCCAGGGACGGAGCCCGGCGGGAAAGUGAAGAUCGGGGCCUCGUCACCAGCACCGAUAAAUGUCACCUGUCCCCGGUCACAGUCCAGACAAACCCGGAUCCUGCUGGGGACCCGGCUCAGGGGCAGGGGGGUCACAGGGGAGGGGAGAGCCCAGAACUGACCCCCCCAGCGCCACCCCACAGCCCAGAUCCCCCCCUCAGGGCUACGGCUGAUCCCUCCCUUCCUCCUCACAGACUCUCUGGCCACCCCCACAGCCCAGACUCCCCCAUCCCCCACCUCCACCUCCCAGCAAUGUCUCCCCGAGGUGAAUCCCUCACAGCCCAGCACACAGAGCUCAGUGUCAAAUCUCUCAGGGUUGUUGGGCAGUCGCUGCCGGGUGUCUCCCCAUCUCACACUUUUCCGAUCCUCAGACAGGACGAGUUCGGGAUGAGCCGUGUCUGGAUCCAGAGUCACAUUCACUGGGGAGAGAGAAUCAGAGUGUUGGGGCAGAGCUCAGUCCUAGGGGAAGCUGGGACCAUUUCUCACACUCCCCAGCAGCCCUGUCCUGGCUGGGACACGCCUGGAUCCCAGGUUGCUGCCUCUGUCCUGGGCACCUGAGACUGAGCAGGGAUGUCACUGCAGUUCCUCAGUUUCUGUAAGGAGACCCACUUCAUUAAUUUCCCAUUUGCUUGUAUAAACUUCAGUUCCCAACCUCCCCUGUUGGUUCUGCUCCAUUCCCAGCAGGAGAUACACAGCCAGGAAGGUUUUAGUGAGGAAUGAGAAGAGCAGGCAGCUACAGUUUUGAACCCCAGAGGGCAUUUCCCUCCUCUAAUGCAGCCUCCACUCGCAGGACAGGGAACAGAGAGGAUGAUGCAGCAU
rnacentral:lncRNA from 1 species